AAUUUGGAAGAUUUAAUUAUUAAUUUAUUUAGUUUAAUUAUUAAGUGGAUGUCGUUCACGAGUUCAGCUAUCUUCAUUCUUGAUCAGAGAAAUAGUCAAGAAUGAUGUGCUUCCUGGGUCCACUCUUUCUUCUUUUAACUCUAACUUUACAAAAAUAAAAACUCAAUUUAUCACAAGAAUCUCUCGUUUUUUUUGAGGUCAAAUUCUUCUUCUAUCUCUUUUGGCAUGGAAUUUAUAACACGGUUGUUUGGACUUACUUCAUGUGUGGCAACUGGCAAUGACUACUAAUCUGUUUUGGAACCAGGGGUGUGCAAAUAAACCAGUAACCAUAAACCAAAUCUAUAUCCAAACCAAACCAAAUUUAAAAACCCAGCCCAAAAUAAAAAAUUAAAACCAGAGGCCCAUUUAUCAAAACCAAAAAAAACCGGAAACCAUUAUUCAGUUUGGAUCACGUUAUCGGUUACCAUUUGAAAAAUUUGAGAAAAACCCUAAUUCCCAAACCCUCUCUUCUACUAUCUGAGAUAGCUGUCACAAACCCUCCGCCUAAUCCUCUUCCACCUUCUCCAUCUCCGAUUCUCUCUACACUUUCCUCUCAUUCCAUCCAAUCUUAGAUCCCAGCCUCACGAUUGAACCGUCGUGUCGAAAACUUCUUGAAGGUUUCAAGUGAUCAAAAGCUGCCAUCACUUUAUCUCUUAGAUAGUAUUGUCAAGAAUAUUGGGCGAGAUUACAUAAAAUACUUUGCUGUUAGACUACCUGAGAUGGUGCUAGCUGUUCAACAUCUUCAACCUCUGUUGCACUUGAAGAGGACUUGUCGGUUUAAUUGUUGUACUGCACUCGGUUGAGAUUAUGAUGGGAGUUGAGGAAGAAUUUGGCAUUAGCGUGGAAGAAGAAAGUGCUCAGAGCUUCUUGAGACCAAGGCUUAAACCAACAAAGAGGAGGACUUAACAUGUCCAUUUUGGAGUGUCUUUUUUUUGUUGCUAUAUGAUAUUUGAUGUGUUAGGUUAACUAAACUUCAUGUAAUUGCUGGAUCUUUU